rnacentral:rRNA from 1 species
AUUGAACGCUGGCGGCAAGCCUAACACAUGCAAGUCGAACGAGUGGCGGACGGGUGAGUAAUGUCUGGGAAACUGCCUGAUGGAGGGGGAUAACUACUGGAAACGGUAGCUAAUACAGCAUACCAUCGGAUGUGCCCAGAUGGGAUUAGCUAGUAGGUGGGGUAAAGGCUCACCUAGGCGACGAUCCCUAGCUGGUCUGAGAGGAUGACCAGCCCUACUGAGACUGAGACACGGUCCAGACUCCUACGGGGUGCAGCAGUGGGUAAUAUUGCACAAUGGGCGCAAGCCGGAUGCAGCCAUUCCGCGUGUAUGAAGAAGGCCUUCGGGUUGUAAAGUACUUUCAGCGGGGAGGCGUUACCCGCAGAAGAAGCACCGGCUAACUCCGUGCCAGCAGCCGCGGUGAUAC